GAUGAAGAACGCAGCGAAAUGCGAUAAGUAAUGUGAAUUGCAGAAUUCAGUGAAUCAUCGAAUCUUUGAACGCACAUUGCGCCCGCCAGUAUUCUGGCGGGCAUGCCUGUUCGAGCGUCAUUUCAACCCUCAAGCACAGCUUGGUGUUGGGACUCGCGUUAAUUCGCGUUCCCCAAAUUGAUUGGCGGUCACGUCGAGCUUCCAUAGCGUAGUAGUAAAACCCUCGUUACUGGUAAUCGUCGCGGCCACGCCGUUAAACCCCAACUCCUGAAUGUUGACCUCGGAUCAGGUAGGAAUACCCGCUGAACUUAAGCAUAUCAAUAAGCGGAGGA
rnacentral:misc_RNA from 1 species